rnacentral:rRNA from 1 species
GACGAACGCUGGCGGCGUGCUUAACACAUGCAAGUCGAACGGAAAGGCCCUGCUUUUGUGGGGUGCUCGAGUGGCGAACGGGUGAGUAACACGUGAGUAACCUGCCCUUGACUUUGGGAUAACUUCAGGAAACUGGGGCUAAUACCGGAUAGGAGCUCCUGCUGGAUGGUGGGGGUUGGAAAGUUUCGGCGGUUGGGGAUGGACUCGCGGCUUAUGAGCUUGUUGGUGGGGUAGUGGCUUACCAAGGCUUUGACGGGUAGCCGGCCUGGGAGGGUGACCGGCCACAUUGGUACUGAGAUACGGCCCAGACUCCUACGGGAGGCAGCAGUGGGGAAUAUUGCACAAUGGGCGGAAGCCUGAUGCAGCAACGCCGCGUGCGGGAUGACGGCCUUCGGGUUGUAAACCGCUUUCGCCUGUGACGAAGCGUGAGUGACGGUAAUGGGUAAAGAAGCACCGGCUAACUACGUG